GUUCGGAUCGUGUCACGGUUUUAGGGUCACGGUUCGGAUCAUUUUUUGGAUCAGUAAAAAAAAAAAACAGCAAAAAACAACAAGAUAUAAGCUAAAUUAAUUUUUGGAAACACUUCGAAUCAUAUCAAUAAGCAUACAAAGUACUUCACUAGCUCUGGGAAUCUCAGGGUACAUCGCGAUAUGAUGCGAUUCACGAUACCGAUGUAUCUCGAUAUGGCAAAUAUUCCAAAAACCAUUAUAUUACCUGUUAAUCUAUGAUAUUGUCAUGCCUGCCCUGCUCCACCCCCUCAAGGUAAUCUUCCCUUGAUUUCUGUCACCUGUGACUGUGCCUAUUUAAACCAGCUCCUGCAUCACAGCCUUGCUGGAACGUUUCAGCCUUACAGCCACGACUACCUGCUCCUGAAAAGCUCCAGACCCCGUUCAUCCAUUCCAUUCCAAUCUGACCUGACCUGUUUCUGCCUCACAACCACCCGUUCAGCCUGCUUCCCUUGUGCCUUUUCCACUACUCCAUCUUCAAGACAAGUGCUGCACCUCCUGGUGGCUGGAGGAGAUCCCUGCACUGACUCACCUGUUCCUGCUUAUCCUCC